rnacentral:pre_miRNA from 1 species
UAUAUACUCCCUCCGUCCGGAAAUACUUGUCAGCAAAAUGGAUAAAAGGGAUGUAUCUAGAUGUAUUUUAGUUUUAGAUACAUCCCUUUUUGUCCAUUUUGAUGACAAGUAUUUUCGAACGGAGGGAGUAUAAU